rnacentral:rRNA from 1 species
UGGGGAAUAUUGCACAAUGGGCGCAAGCCUGAUGCAGCCAUGCCGCGUGUGUGAAGAAGGCCUUCGGGUUGUAAAGCACUUUCAGCGGGGAGGAAGGCGAUAAGGUUAAUAACCUUGUCGAUUGACGUUACCCGCAGAAGAAGCACCGGCUAACUCCGUGCCAGCAGCCGCGGUAAUACGGAGGGUGCAAGCGUUAAUCGGAAUUACUGGGCGUAAAGCGCACGCAGGCGGUCUGUCAAGUCGGAUGUGAAAUCCCCGGGCUCAACCUGGGAACUGCAUUCGAAACUGGCAGGCUAGAGUCUUGUAGAGGCGGGUAGAAUUCCAGGUGUAGCGGUGAAAUGCGUAGAGAUCUGGAGGAAUACCGGUGGCGAAGGCGGCCCCCUGGACAAAGACUGACGCUCAGGUGCGAAAGCGUGGGGAGCAAACAGG